CGGGGUGUAGCGCAGCUUGGUAGCGCAUCCGCUUUGGGAGCGGAAGGCCGCAGGUUCAAAUCCUGUCACCCCGAC
rnacentral:tRNA from 33 species